UACAGAGACUGCAAGCGUUAUUCGGAUUCACUGGGCGUAAAGGGUGCGCAGGCGGUUGGGUGGGUCAGGUGUGAAAGCCCGGGGCUUAACCCCGGAAUUGCGCCUGAAACUACAUGACUAGAGCAUUGGAGAGGGUAGCGGAAUUCACGGUGUAGCAGUGAAAUGCGUAGAUAUCAGGAGGAACACCGGUGGUGUAAACGGCUUUCUGGACCAUAACUGACGCUGAGGCACGAAAGCGUGGGUAGCAAACAGG
rnacentral:rRNA from 1 species